rnacentral:rRNA from 1 species
UACGUAGGGUGCAGGCGUUAAUCGGAAUUACUGGGCGUAAAGCGUGCGCAGGCGGUUUGCUAAGACAGGUGUGAAAUCCCCGGGCUUAACCUGGGAACUGCGCUUGUAACUGGCAAGCUUGAGUGUGGCAGAGGGGGGUGGAAUUCCACGUGUAGCAGUGAAAUGCGUAGAGAUGUGGAGGAACACCGAUGGCGAAGGCAGCCCCCUGGGCCUGCACUGACGCUCAUGCACGAAAGCGUGGGGAGCAAACAGG